GGAUGACAGGAUUCACCUUCCACACAUGCGAAGUAUACAUACCCUUUAUAGACUGAACCUGAUGACUUUUAGAUUCAGAAAUCUGGUGCUGCUCCUAUUUAUUCCAAAGAUGAAAUAAUUGUUCUAUAGGGCAAGGAUUAAUUUUCUGCUUCAGGGACAAGCUAAGAUGCCUCAAAGGUCAUAUGAGCUCCUCCAAUUGAAAUAUAGUUUGAUUUUUGUUGCUAUCUAACUUGAUGAGAUGGAGAAACCACAA